GAUGAACGCUGGCGGCGUGCCUAAUACAUGCAAGUCGAGCGAACGGACGAGAAGCUUGCUUCUCUGAUGUUAGCGGCGGACGGGUGAGUAACACGUGGAUAACCUACCUAUAAGACUGGGAAAACUUCGGGAAACCGGAGCUAAUACCGGAUAAUAUUUUGAACCGCAUGGUUCAAAAGUGAAAGACGGUCUUGCGGUAACUACUAGAUGGAUCCGCGCUGCAUUAGCUAGUUGGUAAGGUAACGGCUUACCAAGGCAACGAUGCAUAGCCGACCUGAGAGGGUGAUCGGCCACACUGGAACUGAGACACGGUCCAUACGCCUACGGGAGGCAGCAGUAGCGAAUCUUCCGCAAUGGGCGAAAGCCUUACGGAGCAACGCCGCGUGAGUUAUGAAGGUCUUCGGAUCGUAAUACUCUGUUAUUAGUGAAGAACAUAUGUGUAAGGAACUGUGCACAGCUUGACGGUACCUAAUCAGAAAGCCACGGCUAACUACGUG
rnacentral:rRNA from 1 species